AUGGGCACAAGGCUUCUCUGCUGUGCAGCCCUUUGUCUCCUGGCAGCAGGCUCUUUUUAUGCCAAAGUUAUUCAGACUCCAGGACAUCUGGUAAAAGGGACAGGACAGAAGGCCAAGAUGGAUUGCAUUCCCCAAAAAGGACAUACUUUUGUUUACUGGUAUCAACAGAACCAGAAUAAAGAGCUUACAUUUUUUAUUUACUUUCAGAACGAAAGAAUUCUUGAUCAAAUGGAGAAGGAUAAGGAGCGAUUCUCAGCUCAGUGCCUCUCAAACUCACCCUGCAGCCUGGAAAUCCUAUCCUCUGAACCAAGAGACUCAGCACUGUAUCUCUGUGCCAGUAGUCAGUCCACAGUGCUGAAAUGUCAGUUCCUCUUAGUGCACAAACUCGCCAUGAACCCAACUCAGGAAGCAGGUUAG